GAACAUUGAAGCGGCAGGCGCUCCAUCAUGCGUUUACCGUGGAGUUCCGAAGGGUUGUGCGUAUUCCUCAAGGUGGAUAGGCGAGAACCGAAAGAAAACGCAACGC
ncrna:unclassified sequences drum RNA